rnacentral:rRNA from 1 species
UACGUAGGGGGCAAGCGUUGUCCGGAUUUAUUGGGCGUAGAGAGCGUGUAGGCGGUUUGGGUAGGUCCGCUGUGAAAACUCGAGCUCAACCUCGAGACGCCGGUGGAAACCAUCAGACUAGAGUCCGGAAGAGGAGAGUGGAAUUCCUGGUGUAGCGGUGAAAUGCGUAGAGAUCGGGAGGAACAUCAGUGGCGAAAGGCGGCCAUCUGGGGACAACACUG